AUAGUACUGUGAAGGAAAGGUGAAAAGGACCCCGGGAGGGGAGUGAAAGAGAACCUGAAACCUUGUGCUUACAAACAGUCAAAGGCCUACGGGCUGAUGGCGUACUUUUUGUAGAACGGUCCGGCGAGUUACUAAUGCCAGCGAGGUUAAGAUGUCAGAAGCAUCGGAGCCGAAGGGAAACCAAGUCUGAAUAGGGCGUAGAGUUGGUAUUAGUAGACCCGAAACCGGGUGACCUAUCCAUGUCCAGGUUGAAGGAACCGUAAAAGGUUUUGGAGGACCGAACACACAUGUGUUGAAAAACGUGGUGAUGAGGUGUGGAUAGCGGAGAAAUUCCAAUCGAACUCGGAGAUAGCUGGUUCUCCUCGAAAUAGCUUUAGGGCUAGCCUCGAGCUGGAGUCUAACGGAGGUAAAGCACUGAACUGACGCGGGGCCCAAAAAGGUUACCAACUCAUAUCAAACUAAGAAUGCCGUCAAGAUACCCUCGGGAGUCAGUCUGCGUGAGAUAAGUCGCGUGGACAAAAGGGAAAGAGCCCAGACCGACAGCUAAGGUCCCAAAGUACGUGUUAAGUGGAAAAGGAUGUGGGAUUUCAUAGACAACUAGGAUGUUGGCUUAGAAGCAGCCAUACAUUUAAAGAGUGCGUAAUAGCUCACUAGUCGAGAAAACCUGCGCCGAAAAUGUAACGGGGCUAAAACACGACACCGAAGCUACGGAUUUCCUACAAGGUAGGAAGUGGUAGAGGAGCAUCCUGCAAGGACGAAGCCAAAGUGAGAGCGAUGGUGGACGAAACAGGAGAGAGAAUGCCGGAAUGAGUAGCGAGAUACAUGUGAGAAACAUGUAGGCCGAAUAUCUAAGGAUUCCUGGGUAAAGCUAAUCUUCCCAGGGUUAGUCGGGGCCUAAGGCGAGGACGAAAGUCGUAGUCGAUGGAUAACAGGUUGAUAUUCCUGUACUACACAUAAUCAGAACUGUGGGGACGCAGGAGGAUAGGGAAACCGGGGAAUGGAAAGACCCGGUCAAGCGUAAAGCUGUGGGAGAUAGGCAAAUCCGUCUCUUGUAAGUGAAACGUGAUGAGGACUGAAAAAAAGUAAGGAAGUUUCCGAAUCCACACUGCCGAGAAAAGCCGCUAUUGCGUUAUGUGUACCCGUACCGUAAACCGACACAGGUAGAUGAGGAGAAAAUCCACAGGCCGACGGGAGAAGUGUUGUUAAGGAACUCGGCAAAAUGACCCCGUAACUUCGGGAUAAGGGGAGCCUCGCAAGAGGCCGCAGAAAAGAGGCACAAGCAACUGUUUAGCAAAAACAUAGGUCUAUGCGAAACCGUAAGGUGAAGUAUAUGGGCUGACGCCUGCCCGGUGCUGGAAGGUUAAGAGGAGAGGUUAGCGCAAGCGAAGCUUUGAAUUUAAGCCCCAGUAAACGGCGGCCGUAACUAUAACGGUCCUAAGGUAGCGAAAUUCCUUGUCAGGUAAGUUCUGACCCGCACGAAAGGCGUAAUGAUUUGGGCACUGUCUCAACAGCCCGCCCGGCGAAAUUGUAGUAC
rnacentral:rRNA from 1 species